UACGUAGGGGGCAAGCGUUGUCCGGAUUUAUUGGGCGUAAAGAGCUCGUAGGCGGUUCGGCAAGUCAGGUGUGAAAUCUCCGCGGCUCAACCGUGGAACUGCCUUAGAUACUGACGGCCUCGAGGGAGAUAGGGGCGAGCGGAACUGUGAGUGGAGCGGUGAAAUGCGUUGAUAUUCACAGGAACUCCGGUGGCGAAGGCGGCUCGCUGGAUCUCUUCUGACGCUGAGGCGCGAAAGCUAGGGGAGCAAACGGG
rnacentral:rRNA from 1 species